GAGUGUCGGGUUAAGUCCCAUAACGAGCGCAACCCUUACUGUUAGUUGCCAGCGGGUCAAGCCGGGAACUCUAACGGGACUGCCACCGUAAGGUGAGAGGAAGGUGGGGAUGACGUCAAAUCAGCACGGCCCUUAUGUCCAGGGCUACACACGUGUUACAAUGGUCGGUACAAAGGGCAGCUACACCGCGAGGUGAUGCUAAUCUCUAAAGCCGGUCUCAGUUCGGAUCGAAGUCUGCAACCCGACUUCGUGAAGUUGGAUUCGCUAGUAAUCGCGCAUCAGCCAUGGCGCGGUGAAUACGUUCCCGGGCCUU
rnacentral:rRNA from 1 species